UAAAAGGGCCGAAUUACCCAAGUUGAAUACUGCAUCAGUAUUGUAUACAAACUGUAUCAGUAUUGUAUAUGAACUGUAUAUGGACUACGUAGGCUAAAAGUGGAAUACAAAUGGAUCAAAUCACGUUCAAGAAGAUGUUGCAUUCUUGAAAUCGUCCUGAUAUGUUGUUUUCUUAUUUCUUGGAUAUGUGAAGCCCAUGAACUCAG
rnacentral:lncRNA from 1 species